AUUACGCAACUCUAUGUUGGCCCAGUAUGAAAGGCGCUUUAGGGAGACACAUAACGACUAUCACUUGCAUUGUGUGGACAUGUUAGCUCAGAGUUUGGGCAUAUGCCACAAUGUUGAGGACUUCAGCAACUGGAAAAGGCCAAGGGGAUACCCACAUUGCACCUGGCUGUGGCAGAUAGAUGGCUCCUUUGAAGAGAUGGAGAUGGACCGGUUUGUUUCUUUGGAUAGAGGGGAGGUGAUGGUCUUGUGGUUAAGCAUUGGGUUUGAGACCACAGUUCAAAUCCCAGCCUGACUCGAAAAUCACUAAGGGCUCUUGGGCAAGGUCCUUAAUCCCCUAGUUGCUCCCGGGGUGUAGUGGGCACUUUGCAUGACAGCAGCCUGGCAUUGGGGUGAAUGUGAGGCAUUGAUGUGUAAAGCGCUUUGAGCGUCUGAUGCAGAUGGAAAAGCGCUAUAUAAAUACAGUC